GCCUGCACGAGUGGCGAGACGGGUGAGUAAUACAUCGGAACGUGCCCGAUCGUGGGGGAUAACUACUCGGAAGAGUGGCUAAUACCGCAUACGAUCUCCGGAUGAAAGCGGGGGAUCGCUAGACCUCGCGCGGACGGAGCGGCCGAUGGCUUAUUAGGUAUUUGGUGGGAUAAAAGCUUACCAAGCCGACGAUCUGUAGCUGGUCUGAGAGGACGACCANCCACACUGGGACUGAGACACGGCCCACACUCCUACGGGAGGCAGCAGUGGGGAAUUUUGGAUUUGGGGGAAACCCUGAUCCCUGAUGCCGCGUGCCGAUGAAGGCCUUCGGGUUGUAAACUGCUUUUGUACNGAACGAAAAGACUCUUUCUAAUACAAGGGUCCUGACGGGCCGUAAGAAUAAGCACCGGCUAACUAC
rnacentral:rRNA from 1 species